GCCUGUGUGGUGCAGUGGUCAGAGUGCCUGCCUAGGACGUAGGAGAUCAGGGUUCGAAUCCCCACUUGGCCC